GAAUACCGGUUCUCGUUAGAUCACCGAACCACUAAAACAUCACUGGGCGCGCUCAGUACCGGGUGGGUGACCACCUGGGAACACUGCGUGCCGUU